rnacentral:tRNA from 1 species
GGAGAGAUGGCAGAGUGGUUAUUGCGGCGGUCUUGAAAACCGUUGAGGAAAAAUUUCCUUCCAGGGUUCGAAUCCCUGUCUCUCCG